rnacentral:rRNA from 1 species
UGCAGUCGAGCGAACGGAUAAGGAGCUUGCUCCUUUGAAGUUAGCGGCGGACGGGUGAGUAACACGUGGGUAACCUACCUAUAAGACUGGAAUAACUUCGGGAAACCGGAGCUAAUGCCGGAUAACAUUUGGAACCGCAUGGUUCUAAAGUAAAAGAUGGUUUUGCUAUCACUUAUAGAUGGACCCGCGCCGUAUUAGCUAGUUGGUAAGGUAACGGCUUACCAAGGCAACGAUACGUAGCCGACCUGAGAGGGUGAUCGGCCACACUGGAACUGAGACACGGUCCAGACUCCUACGGGAGGCAGCAGUAGGGAAUCUUCCGCAAUGGACGAAAGUCUGACGGAGCAACGCCGCGUGAGUGAUGAAGGUUUUCGGAUCGUAAAACUCUGUUAUUAGGGAAGAACAAAUGUGUAAGUAACUGUGCACAUCUUGACGGUACCUAAUCAGAAAGCCACGGCUAACUACGUGCCAGCAGCCGCGGUAAUACGUAGGUGGCAAGCGUUAUCCGGAAUUAUUGGGCGUAAAGCGCGCGUAGGCGGUUUCUUAAGUCUGAUGUGAAAGCCCACGGCUCAACCGUGGAGGGUCAUUGGAAACUGGGAAACUUGAGUACAGAAGAGGAAAGUGGAAUUCCAUGUGUAGCGGUGAAAUGCGCAGAGAUAUGGAGGAACACCAGUGGCGAAGGCGACUUUCUGGUCUGUAACUGACGCUGAUGUGCGAAAGCGUGGGGAUCAAACAGGAUUAGAUACCCUGGUAGUCCACGCCGUAACGAUGAGUGC